rnacentral:rRNA from 1 species
AACGAACGCUGGCGGCGUGCCUAAUACAUGCAAGUCGCACGAGAAAGUCCUGGAGUGAGUAUAGUGGCGCACGGGUGAGUAAUACAUAGGAACAUACCAUUUGGUGGGGAAGUAACCACGGGAAACGUGUGGCUAAUACCGCAUGGUGACGUGAGUCUAAAGAGGGCCUCUACUUGUAAGCUCUCGCCAAAUGAGUGGCCUAUGUCCCAUUAGCUAGUUGGCAGGGUAAUGGCCUACCAAGGCAACGAUGGGUAGCUGGUCUGAGAGGAUGAUCAGCCACACUGGGACUGAGACACGGCCCAGACUCCUACGGGAGGCAGCAGUAGGGAAUUUUGCACAAUGGGCGCAAGCCUGAUGCAGCAACGCCGCGUGAGUGAAGAAGGCUCUUGGGUCGUAAAGCUCUUUCGGCUGGAAAGAAGGGGGUUGCCUGCGAACAGUUGGCAAUUCUGACGGUACCAGAAG